GCCGGUGUGGUGAAAUUGGUAUACACGACGGAUUCAAAAUCCGUUGCCUUCUGGCGUGGCGGUUCAAGUCCGCCCACCGGUACCA
rnacentral:tRNA from 1 species